rnacentral:rRNA from 2 species
UUAGUAACUGCGAGUGAAGAGGGAAAAGCUCAAAUUUAAAAUCUGGCAGUGUUUCACUGUCCGAGUUGUAACCUAGAGAAGUGUAACCUGUGCUGGACCGUGUAUAAGUCUCCUGGAAUGGAGCAUCAUAGAGGGUGAGAAUCCCGUCUUUGACAUGGACUACCAGUGCAUUGUGGUUGCGCUCUCAACGAGUCGAGUUGUUUGGGAAUGCAGCUCUAAAUGGGUGGUAAAUUCCAUCUAAAGCUAAAUAUUGGCGAGAGACCGAUAGCGAACAAGUACCGUGAGGGAAAGAUGAAAAGAACUUUGGAAAGAGAGUUAAACAGUAUGUGAAAUUGUUGAAAGGGAAACGUUUGAAGUCAGUCGCGUUGGUUGGGGAUCAGCCUGACAUUGUUGGGUGUACUUCCUGGUUGACGGGCCAACAUCAGUUUUGACUGCCAGAAAAAGGCCAAAGGAAUGUGGCACCUUUGGGUGUGUUAUAGCCCUUGGUCGUAUAUGGUGGUUGGGACUGAGGAAAGCAGCGUGCCGAAAGGCCGGGUUUCGACCACGUUCACGCUGAGGAUGUUGGCAUAAUGGCUUUAAGCGACCCGUCUUGAAACACGGACCAAGGAGUCUAACAUGCGUGCGAGUGUUUGGGUGGAAAACCCUUACGCGUAAUGAAAGUGAAAGUUGAGAUCCCUGUCGCGGGGAGCAUCGACGCCCGGACCAGAACUUUUGGGACGGAUCUGCGGUAGAGCAUGUAUGUUGGGACCCGAAAGAUGGUGAACUAUGCCUGAAUAGGGUGAAGCCAGAGGAAACUCUGGUGGAGGCUCGUAGCGAUUCUGACGUGCAAAUCGAUCGUCAAAUUUGGGUAUAGGGGCGAAAGACUAAUCG